CCUACGGGUGGCAGCAGUGGGGAAUAUUGCACAAUGGGGGAAACCCUGAUGCAGCGACGCCGCGUGAGUGAAGAAGUAAUUCGUUAUGUAAAGCUCUAUCAGCAGGGAAGAAAAUGACGGUACCUGAGUAAGAAGCCCCGGCUAACUACGUGCCAGCAGCCGCGGUAAUACGGAGGGGGCAAGCGUUAUCCGGAUUUACUGGGGGUAAAGGGAGCGUAGACGGAAGUGCAAGUCUGGAGUGAAAGGGGGGGGCUCAACCCCCGGACUGUUGUGGAAACGGUGCGGCUGGAGUGCAGGAGAGGGAAGUGGAAGGCCUAGUGUAGCGGUGAAAUGCGUAGAGAGUAGGAGGAAAACCAGUGGCGAAGGCGGCUUACUGGACUGUAACUGACGUUGAGGCGCGAAAGCGUGGGGAGCAAACAGGAUUAGAUACCCGAGUAGUC
rnacentral:rRNA from 1 species